AUGGCGACGCUCGGCGGCAUGCUGGCCGCUGCCAUCCUCAAGGUGGUGGGCGACCAGGUUGGUUCUCUGAUCGGCGGUCAGAUCACGCUGCAGAUGAAUUUGAACAAGGACCUCAAGAAGAUGAAGAUGGCGCUGGAGUCUAUCAAGGCAGUGCUCAAGGUCGCGGAGAGGCAGUCCAUCACCGACGAACUGACGGGUCUUUGGCUGAAGCGGCUCAAGGACUUCUUGUAUGAGGUCUCUGACAUGAUUGAUGAGUUCGAAGCAGACACACGAGCCAUCACCCAGCCGUCUGCGCGCAAGUUCUCCUUCAAAAAAUAUUUGGCGUUCAUGAUCCCUUGUCUCACAAUUGGCCCCAACAUUACAAUGGCCAAUAGGAUGAAGAACAUGAGGGACGACCUGAAGGUCAUAACAGAUCAACAUAAGGAAUUCAAGUUAACAGACUGCACUAAUGCCAAUGAGCCAAAGGUGACUGAUAUACAGGAAACAUCAUCAACCCCGGAGACACAAAUCAUUGGGAGGACUGAGGAGAGAGAUAUAAUAUUGGCUUCUUUAUCUGAUAGCAUGACAAAGGAUAUCACAAUCCUUCCUAUAUAUGGCAUUGGAGGCCUUGGCAAGACAACCUUGGCAAAAAAUGGUUUACAAUAG
rnacentral:rRNA from 1 species